AUUGAACGCUGGCGGCAGGCCUAACACAUGCAAGUCGAGCGGAUGAAGGGAGCUUGCUCCUGGAUUCAGCGGCGGACGGGUGAGUAAUGCCUAGGAAUCUGCCUGGUAGUGGGGGAUAACGUCCGGAAACGGGCGCUAAUACCGCAUACGUCCUGAGGGAGAAAGUGGGGGAUCUUCGGAUCUCACGCUAUCAGAUGAGCCUAGGUCGGAUUAGCUAGUUGGUGGGGUAAAGGCCUACCAAGGCGACGAUCCGUAACUGGUCUGAGAGGAUGAUCAGUCACACUGGAACUGAGACACGGUCCAGACUCCUACGGGAGGCAGCAGUGGGGAAUAUUGGACAAUGGGCGAAAGCCUGAUCCAGCCAUGCCGCGUGUGUUAAGAAGGUCUUCGGAUUGUAAAGCACUUUAAGUUGGGAGGAAGGGCAGUAAGUUAAUACCUUGCUGUUUUGACGUUACCAACAGAAUAAGCACCGGCUAACUUCGUG
rnacentral:rRNA from 1 species